rnacentral:piRNA from 1 species
UAGCAUCCCCUGGCAAGAAAAUUAAGUGGU